rnacentral:rRNA from 1 species
AUUGAACGCUGGCGGCAGGCCUAACACAUGCAAGUCGAGCGGAGCGGCGGACGGGUGAGUAAUGCCUGGGAAUCUGCCUGGUAGUGGGGGAUAACGUCAGGAAACGGGCGCUAAUACCGCAUACUAUCAGAUGAGCCUAGGUCGGAUUAGCUAGUUGGGGGGGUAAAGGCCUACCAAGUCGACGAUCUGUAACUGGUCUGAGAGGAUGAUCAGCCACAUUUGGACGAGGAUACGGCCCAUACUCCUACGGGAGGCAGCAGUGGGGAAUAUUGGACAAUGGGCGAAAGCCUGAUCCAGCCAUGCCGCGUGUGUGAAGAAGGUCUUCGGAUUGUAAAGCACUUUAAGUUGGGAGGCGUUACCAACAGAAUAAGCACCGGCUAACUUCGUGCCAGCAGCCGCGGUAAUUC